rnacentral:rRNA from 1 species
GACGAACCGUGCGAACGUUAUUCGGAAUCACUGGGCUUAAAGCGCGUGUAGGCGGGCCGGCACGUCGGUCGUUGAAAUCCCCCGGCUCAACCGGGGAAGCGGCGCCGAUACGACCGGCCUCGAGGGACGUAGGGGGGGCUGGAACUUCCGGUGGAGCGGUGAAAUGCGUUGAGAUCGGAAGGAACGCCCGUGGCGAAAGCGAGCCCCUGGACGUCUACUGACGCUGAGACGCGAAAGCCAGGGGAGCGAGCGGG